GAUGCCAGUUGCUCCAGGGAAAUUUCUAGUACCUUUUAUUUGGAGAAUUGGAAACAGAUCCCUAAAUGCAAGAUAAAGGAGACACUGGGAUCCCUUCCUAUGAUGCUAAGAGAACUGCAGUUUGGCAGCACAGAGGAAGUUCGGAAGAUCCGGAAGCAGAAGCAUGCCAGUGUUGCUCUCAGUUCUGCAAGGGAGAAAGCCACGCAUCUCCUGUUUGGUGCAACUAGCGGUGCCCACCACCAGGCCACGCCACUGGGAGACCUCGCGCAAGUCCACAGAGCACCAAGAGCUAACGGAGACCCAGAUGCUGCCGUUCCACCUCUGAGCCUCUCACUCUAUGCUUUGUUAGCUUCAGUAAGUGGCUUAAACCUUUCUUUUUAAUCUAUAAAACACAACUGCUAUCUCUUUGGGAGGC
rnacentral:lncRNA from 1 species